rnacentral:lncRNA from 1 species
CUUAGCAGCAGCAGCAGCAACAUAGAUUAGAGUAUGUGAUAUACAGUAGGGGUUGGCAGAGUUUUUAACCACCAGAUAGUAACGACCAGAUGAAGUAAAAGUGAAAGUUUUAGUCGCUUAGUCAUGUCCAACUCUUUGUGACCCCAUGGAUUGUAAGCCCACCAGAUUCCUCCUCUGUCCACGGAACUUUCCAGAUAAGAAUACUGGAGUGAGUUGCCAUUUCUUUCUCAAGGGGAUCUUUCUGACCCAGGGAUAGAACCCAGGUCUCCCGCACUGCAGGCAGACUACCAUCUGAGCCACCAGGGAAGGAUCAUAUAGUAAGUACUUAAGGGUUUGUGGGUCACACAGUGUCUACAGCAACCACUCAGUUCUGUUGUUGUACCACAAAAGCAGCCUUUAUAAAAAUACAUGGGCAUGGCUGUGCUCCAAAACUUUACUUCUGGACAAUAAAAUUUGAACUUUGUGUAAUUUUCACAUCAUGAAAUAUUUUUACUUUGAUUUUUCAACCACUCAGAAAUGUAAAAACUAGUCUUAACUUGUAUUCAAGAACAGAGACCCUGCCCCACAGCCAACCCUGAAAAAUAUUAUGAUUAUUGCCAAUAACAAUAUCUGAAAAUGGAAGAGGAACUGUGUUACCAUCAGAUAGAGAUAUUUUGGGACAAAUGUGCUUCUUUUUUGUACAGUUUAAACUGCAAUUGGAAGGCAGAUUAUAACAGGAAUUUCUGGAUGGAUGCCCAUGAGAUGAUAGACUAUAUCUCUCAAAGAGUUCAAGAAGGAUCAGAGAAGCCCAAUCUUCCUAUUAGAACUUCCAAUUUAGUCUAAUUUUAUAUGGCAACCUAGACAUAGCAGUUAAAUAGCCCUACAUAGCUAAUAUCCAAAAAUAUCAAACCAGUCACAAUAGAAAUAAGGUAUCAAUAAUGAUUUUAGUUAAACACAGAGAGAAAUGACCAAUUUGGUUUCACUCUCUCAUCCAUACAAUAAGUGGGUUUUACUAUUUUAUCUUUAAAGACCUUUCUAGUUCACCAGCAGGAUCAGAAUGAGGAAAAUUUUGUAGACCAGAAAAAAUGUUGCUUGCCUGUCUAAAAGUCAUAACCUGGACUCCUCAUAAUUGCUUCUGAAUCUUCUAGAGCAGUUCAGUUCAGUUCAGUUCAGUCGCUCAGUCGUGUCCAACUCUU